GAGUGAACCACAUUCAGGGUUACCAAUCAAAAUUUUCAAGCGGCGCCAUUCAUUUUGGUUGGGAUCUCUUUUCUUAAGAAAACAAAAAUAGAAAUAAGAGAGGAGUGGUGAAUGCUGGGAAGAGUGAUUUUUCUCCGCCACUGUUAAGUUAUUCGCAUCUACCAUCGUCUCAAUGUUCACUAUUAGUUUUCAAUUUUGAGAAAAGGAAAGUGAAAAAACGGUCCAUAAUUUCUUUUCUCAGUAUACUGUUCAUCAACUUACCUUUAUUUUCUUUCUUCCAAAACUGCAUGAUACUCCCUCUAUACAAACUAACCACUAAUAUAUAUAAUGUUUAUUGUUAUAUAGUUUUUUAGAUAAUAGUUUUUUUUAAGUUUUCAUAUAUUUAUAUAUCGUUUAUUAUUGUAUAGAUUUUUAGAUAUUAAUUUUUACUUCAGAUUAUAUAUUAUUUUAUUUAACUUUUUUUUAUAUACUAUUUGUUUUUAAGAAACAUAUGUAUAUUUGGUUAACUUAUAUUUUUUCAGUAGUUUUAUAUUACGUUGAGACUUUCAGUUUUUUAAGUUUAUAUAUAUUUUUGUUUUUUUUCAUAUAUAUACUUUUUAUUUUUAAGUUUAAUAUAUACAUAUACUUUAGGUUGAUUUACAGUAGUAUAUAUACUUUUGGUUUAGAAGUGAGUCAUCAUUGUUAAUAUUACUACUUUUCGGUUUUGUCUAUAUAUGUACAACUUACAGUUUUCAUUUUUAAUAUGUAUGGAGACUAUUAGUUAGUUUUUAUAUAUUACUUGCAGUUUUCUUUCGGAUCAUAUAUAUAGAUAUAUUACCACUAUUAGUUUGAUUUUAUUUUAUACAAUUUACUGUUAUACAUAUCAUAGAUAUAUAUUACUAUUAGUUUUAAUUCUAUAUAAUUUCGGUCAAAUCUUGCACAUUGCUUUGUUAAUUUUUUAAGUUAGACAUUAUAUAAUAUUAAUUUUAUAUGUAUUUAUAUUUCUUUAGGUUAAUGAAAUAUAUAUAUAUAUAUAUAUAUAUAUAUUAAUAUUGUUUUCACAUUUCAUUUUAUUUUUAGUUGUAUUUCAAUUUUGUACUAAUACAAAUUCAUUGUGGAUAUCGAGUGUUUUGUUUUUAGCUUUUUAUUUUUUUUAAUUACUUUGAUUUGAUGUAAAAGAAAAAAAUUGUAACAUUGCUAUAAUAGUAUUUUGGUUGUUGUUACCUUUCAUUGCAUUGCGACUUCGGAUUUAAAAUCCAAUUUAACUUUUGAAAAUCGCUUGGGCGCAUAGAUUUUGCUCGGCUUCUUAUAGAGUAA
rnacentral:lncRNA from 1 species